CGUACACUCCUACGGGAGGCAGCAGUGGGGAAUUUUGGACAAUGGGCGAAAGCCUGAUCCAGCCAUGCCGCGUGCAGGAUGAAGGCCUUCGGGUUGUAAACUGCUUUUGUACGGAACGAAACGGCCUUUUCUAAUAAAGAGGGCUAAUGACGGUACCGUAAGAAUAAGCACCGGCUAACUACGUGCCAGCAGCCGCGGUAAUACGUAGGGUGCAAGCGUUAAUCGGAAUUACUGGGCGUAAAGCGUGCGCAGGCGGUUAUGUAAGACAGUUGUGAAAUCCCCGGGCUCAACCUGGGAACUGCAUCUGUGACUGCAUAGCUAGAGUACGGUAGAGGGGGAUGGAAUUCCGCGUGUAGCAGUGAAAUGCGUAGAUAUGCGGAGGAACACCGAUGGCGAAGGCAAUCCCCUGGACCUGUACUGACGCUCAUGCACGAAAGCGUGGGGAGCAAACAGGAUUAGAAACCCCGGUAGUCCCA
rnacentral:rRNA from 1 species